UACAGAGGUCCCAAGCGUUGUUCGGAUUCAUUGGGCGUAAAGGGUGCGUAGGCGGCGCGGUAAGUCGGGUGUGAAAUCUCGGGGCUUAACUCCGAAACUGCAUUCGAUAACUGCCGUGCUUGAGGACUGGAGAGGAGACUGGAAUUUGACGGUGAGCGGUGAAAUGCGUAGAUAUCGAUAAGGAAGACCAGUGGCGAAGGCGGGUCUCUGGACAGUUCUGACGCUGAGGCACGAAGGCCAGGGAGGCAAACGGG
rnacentral:rRNA from 1 species